UACAGAGGUCUCAAGCGUUGUUCGGAUUCAUUGGGCGUAAAGGGUGUGUAGGUGGCGCCGUAAGUCGGGUGUGAAAUUUCGGAGCUUAACUCCGAAACUGCAUUCGAUACUGCGGUGCUUGAGGACUGGAGAGGAGACUGGAAUUCCUGGUGUAGCGGUGAAAUGCGCAGAUAUCGGGAGGAACACCGGUGGCGAAGGCGGAUCUCUGGGCCAUUACUGACGCUGAGGAGCGAAAGCGUGGGGAGCGAACAGG
rnacentral:rRNA from 1 species